UUGAACGCUGGCGGCAUGCUUUACACAUGCAAGUCGAACGGGCUGGGGGCAACUCCAGUCAGUGGCGAACGGGUGAGUAAUGCAUCGGAACGUGUCCCGUAGUGGGGGAUAACCCGGCGAAAGCCGGACUAAUACCGCAUAUGCUCUACGGAGGAAAGUGGGGGACCGGAAACGGCCUCACGCUAUGGGAGCGGCCGAUGUCCGAUUAGCUUGUUGGUGGGGUAAUGGCCUACCAAGGCGACGAUCGGUAGCUGGUCUGAGAGGAUGAUCAGCCACACUGGGACUGAGACACGGCCCAGACUCCUACGGGAGGCAGCAGUGGGGAAUCUUGCGCAAUGGGCGAAAGCCUGACGCAGCGACGCCGCGUGAGGGAUGACGGCC
rnacentral:rRNA from 1 species